GAAAGUAGGAAAGGGCGCAUGGCGGAUGCCUUGGCUCUCGGAGGCGAUGAAGGACGUGAUAAGCUGCGAUAAGUCACGGGGAGGUGCAAAUAACCUUUGAUCCGUGAAUCUCCGAAUGGGACAACCCGAUAUCCUGAAGGGAUAUCACCUCAUCUAGUUGAGGAGCUAACGCAGGGAACUGAAACAUCUUAGUACCUGCAGGAAAAGAAAAUAACAAUGAUUCCCCCAGUAGUGGCGAGCGAACGGGGAAGAGCCCAAACCACACAUGUUACGGCAUGUGUGGGGUUGUAGGACCACGGCGUUGCAAGAACUCUUGUGAGAAGAACAGCCUGGAAAGACUGACCACAGACGGUGACAGUCCGGUAUUCGAAGCAAGACGAAGCAUAGUGGUAUCCUGAGUAGCGCGGAACACGAGGAAUUCUGCGUGAAUCUGCCGGGACCAUCCGGUAAGGCUAAAUACUCCCGAGAGACCGAUAGUGGACCAGUACCGUGAGGGAAAGGUGAAAAGCACUUCGAACAGAAGAGUGAAAGAGUACCUGAAACCGUGCGCCUACAAGCGGUCGGAGCACGAAAGUGUGACGGCGUGCCUUUUGCAUAAUGAACCUACGAGUUACCGUAUCUGGCAAGGUUAAGGGUCACGAGACCUGCAGCCGAAGCGAAAGCGAGUCUGAAGAGGGCGUCGAGUCAGUUGCGGUAGACGCGAAACCAAGUGAUCUACCCUUGGCCAGGAUGAAGUCUGGGUAACACCAGAUGGAGGUCCGCACCAAUAAGCGUUGAAAAGCUUCUGGAUGAGCUGAGGGUAGGGGUGAAAGGCUAAUCAAACUUGGAGAUAGCUCGUACUCCCCGAAAUGCAUUUAGGUGCAGCCUCGCGGGUUACUGAUGUGAGGUAGAGCGACUGAUUGGAUGCGAGGGCUUCACCGCCUAUCAAGUCCUGACAAACUCCGAAUGCGCAUCAGUUUUACCGCGGGAGUGAGGGCAUGGGUGCUAAGGUCCGUGCCCGAGAGGAGAAGAAUCCGGACUAUCAGCUAAGGCCCCGAAAUGACAGCUAAGUUAAACUAACGAAGUCUGAUUGCUAAGACAGCUAGGAUGUUGGCUUGGAAGCAGCCAUUCAUUUAAAGAGUGCGUAACAGCUCACUAGUCGAGGAGUCGGGCGUGGAUAAUAAUCGGGUAUCAAGUUGUCUACCGAAGCAGUGGGAUCAUUUAUAUGAUCGGUAGGGGAGCAUUCCAGUCAGCGUCGAAGGCGUACCGUGAGGUAUUCUGGAGCGUCUGGAAAAGCAAAUGUAGGUAUAAGUAACGAUAAAGGGGGCGGGAAACCCCCUCGCCGAAAGACUAAGGUUUCCUGAUCAACGCUAAUCGGAUCAGGGUCAGUCGGGUCCUAAGGCUCAGCCGAACGGCGAUGCCGAUGGCAGAAACGGUUAAUAUUCCGUUACUACCUUCAGGAGUGACGUGGAGACGCAGUAGUGACAGUGCCGCCAUCUGACGGAAUAGAUGGUUGAAGGGUGUAGGAGUCGAUCAUGGCAGGCAAAUCCACCAUGAGAUCCGAACCUGACAGUAUGCCGCGUCCUUCGGGACAAGGCAAUAGUGCGCGUAAGCAUGCUGCCGAGAAAAUCCGCUAAACUUAAUCCUGCAGGUACCCGUACCGCAAACGGACACACGUAGUCGGGAUGAAUAUUCUAAGGCGCUUGAGUGAUUCACGGUUAAGGAACUAGGCAAACUGACCCUGUAACUUCGGGAUAAAGGGUCCCUACCCUUUUAUGGGAGGGCGCAGAGAAUCGGUCCAGGCAACUGUUUAACAAAAACACAGGGCUGUGCCAAAUCGAAAGAUCCAGUAUACAGCCUGACACCUGCCCGGUGCUGGAAGGUUAAGAGGAGAUGUCAUCGAUAAGAGAAGCGUUGAAUUGAAGCCCCAGUAAACGGCGGCCGUAACUAUAACGGUCCUAAGGUAGCGAAAUUCCUUGUCGGGUAAGUUCCGACCUGCACGA
rnacentral:rRNA from 1 species